rnacentral:rRNA from 1 species
AGUGAACGCUGGCGGUAGGCCUAACACAUGCAAGUCGAACGGCAGCACAGAGGAGCUUGCUCCUUGGGUGGCGAGUGGCGGACGGGUGAGGAAUACAUCGGAAUCUACUCUGUCGUGGGGGAUAACGUAGGGAAACUUACGCUAAUACCGCAUACGACCUACGGGUGAAAGCAGGGGAUCUUCGGACCUUGCGCGAUUGCAUGAGCCGAUGUCGGAUUAGCUAUUUGGCGGGGUAAAGGCCCACCAAGGCGACGAGCCGUAGCUGGUCUGAGAGGAUGAUCAGCCACACUGGAAAUAAGAAACAGUCCAGACUCCUACGGGAGGCAGCAGUGGGGAAUAUUGGACAAUGGGCGCAAGCCUGAUCAAGCCAUACCGCGUGGGUGAAGAAGGCCUUCGGGUUGUAAAGCCCUUUUGUUGGGAAAGAAAUCCAUCUGGUUAAUACCCGGGUGGGAUGACGGUACCCAAAGAAUAAGCACCGGCUAACUUCGUGCCAGCCGCCGCCGUAA